rnacentral:lncRNA from 1 species
GUUCAGCUGACCCCAUCUCUUAUUGACAGAGUGACUAAGAAUUACCAUUCAGAAAUCUGCAAAGUCAUCUAGCCAGGGAAUGCACAAAAGAAGAAAUCUUGACCUUAAAUGAUCACGGAACCAAAGUCCUCCAUCCCGUGGAACCCAGGGACUGGGACACAACUGGAACUUGAAAGUCGGAGUCUUAUCAGAAGCUGAUGCCGUAAUUAAUCUGCUUCUUUAUGCACAUCGGGCAAGUGAACUUCACUUUUGUUCAGCAACAAUUUUAGCCAUUCUGAUUUUUGAUCACGUCUAAGAAGAAUAACAUCAAAAAAGAAGUUUAGGGGCCAGCCCCGUGGCCGAAUGGUUAAGUUUGCGUGCUCUGCUUUGGCGGCCCUGGGUUUCGCUGGUUUGGAUCCCGGGUACGGACAUGGCGCCGCUCAUUAGGCCAUGCUGAGGCGGCAUCCCACAUGCCACAACUAGAAGGACCCACAACUAAAAAAUACAUAACUGUGUACCGGGGGUCUUUGGGAGAAAAAGAAAAAAAAUAAAAUCUUUAAAAAAAG